rnacentral:pre_miRNA from 1 species
AGUGAGAUAGCUGGGUCAAAUAGUGGUUCCAUAGAAGUUUUCUAAGGAAUCUCCAUACUGCUUUCCAGAAUGGUUGCACCAAUUUGCAGUCCUAGCAGCAAU